rnacentral:rRNA from 1 species
GACGAACGCUGGCGGCGUGCCUAAUACAUGCAAGUCGAGCGAAUGGAUUAAGAGCUUGCUCUUAUGAAGUUAGCGGCGGACGGGUGAGUGACACGUGGGUAACCUGCCCAUAAGACUGGGAUAACUCCGGGAAACCGGGGCUAAUACCGGAUAACAUUUUGAACCGCAUGGUUCGAAAUUGAAAGGCGGCUUCGGCUGUCACUUAUGGAUGGACCCGCGUCGCAUUAGCUAGUUGGUGAGGUAACGGCUCACCAAGGCAACGAUGCGUAGCCGACGUGAGAGGGUGAUCGGCCACACUGGGACUAAGACACGGCCCAGACUCCUACGGGAGGCAGCAGUAGGGAAUCUUCCGCAAUGGACGAAAGUCUGACGGAGCAACGCCGCGUGAGUGAUGAAGGCUUUCGGGUCGUAAAACUCUGUUGUUAGGGAAGAACAAGUGCUAGUUGAAUAAGCUGGCACCUUGACGGUACCUAACCAGAAAGCCACGGCUAACUACGUGCCAGCAGCCGCGGUAA